UACGAAGGGGGCUAGCGUUGCUCGGAAUCACUGGGCGUAAAGGGUGCGUAGGCGGGUCUUUAAGUCAGGGGUGAAAUCCUGGAGCUCAACUCCAGAACUGCCUUUGAUACUGAAGAUCUUGAGUUCGGGAGAGGUGAGUGGAACUGCGAGUGUAGAGGUGAAAUUCGUAGAUAUUCGCAAGAACACCAGUGGCGAAGGCGGCUCACUGGCCCGAUACUGACGCUGAGGCACGAAAGCGUGGGGAGCAAACAGGAUUAGAUGACCCUAG
rnacentral:rRNA from 1 species